rnacentral:rRNA from 1 species
GAUGAACGCUGGCGGCGUGCCUAAUACAUGCAAGUCGAGCGAACAGACGAGGAGCUUGCUCCUUUGACGUUAGCGGCGGACGGGUGAGUAACACGUAGGUAACCUACCUAUAAGACUGGGAUAACUUCGGGAAACCGGAGCUAAUACCGGAUAAUAUUUCGAACCGCAUGGUUCGAUAGUGAAAGAUGGCUUUGCUAUCACUUAUAGAUGGACCUGCGCCGUAUUAGCUAGUUGGUAAGGUAACGGCUUACCAAGGCAACGAUACGUAGCCGACCUGAGAGGGUGAUCGGCCACACUGGAACUGAGACACGGUCCAUACUCCUACGGGAGGCAGCAGUAGGGAAUCUUCCGCAAUGGGCGAAAGCCUGACGGAGCAACGCCGCGUGAGUGAUGAAGGUCUUCGGAUCGUAAAACUCUGUUAUUAGGGAAGAACAAACGUGUAAGUAACUGUGCACGUCUUGACGGUACCUAAUCAGAAAGCCACGGCUAACUACGUG